rnacentral:rRNA from 1 species
UACUUGAAUAUUAAGAGUUAUGAGCUUUAAAUUCAGAGAAUUUGGCGGUAUUUUAGUCUUGUUAGAGGAACCUGUUCUGUAAGCGAUACUACACGUAGAAUCUUACUUACUUUUGUUUUUCAGCUUGUAUACCAUCAUUAUUAGAUAACCCUUAUUGGGUUAGUUAUUGAACUAUAAAAAAUUAAAUAUAUUAGAUCAAGGUGCAGUUAAUGGGUAAGAAGAAAUGGGUUACAUUGAAAUUUAUUUAGACGAAUUAGUAGUUGAAAGGUUUCUAUGAAGGGGGAUUUAAUUGUAACAUAAGUUUAGUAAGUUUAUGUGGUAUGAGAACUAAAAUAUGUACACAUACGCCCG